CCUACGUGGGGCAGCAGUGGGGGAUAUUGCACAAUGGGGGAAACCCUGAUGCAGCGACGCCGCGUGUGGGAAGACGGUCUUCUGGAUUGUAAACCACUGUCCCCAGGGACGAAAAUGACGGUACCUGGGGAGGAAGCUCCGGCUAACUACGUGCCAGCAGCCGCGGUAAUACGGGGGGAGCAAGCGUUGUCCGGAAUUACUGGGUGAAAGGGGAGCGUAGGGGGGGAUGCAAGUUGGGGGUAAAACCUACCGGCUCAACCGAUAGUCGCCCUCAAAACUGCAACUCUUGAGUGCAGUAGAGGCAGGCGGAAUUCCUAGUGUAGCGGUGAAAUGCGUAGAUAUUAGGAGGAACACCAGUGGCGAAGGCGGCCUGCUGGGCUUUUACUGACGCUGAGGCUCGAAAGUGUGGGGAGCAAACAGGAUUAGAUACCCGAGUAGUC
rnacentral:rRNA from 1 species